UGCUGCUGUUGCUGUUGCUGCUGCAACUGGUCCUGUUGUUGAGACGAAGAGUGCUGCAUUUGGGACAUUUUCAUCUUUGGGGAAUUCGACUGUACUGGAGAGCAAAUGGAUCCAUCAUUUCUAGGGGGCUGACCAUCUUUGGCAUUAAAGUUCCCUCUAGGUAAUCCACCAAACCCAUAAUUAGGUGAGUUUCCAAGGUUACCUUGGGCUUGAGCUUGAGCUAAGACCUGUUGUUGUUGUGAUGCCAAAAGAAAUUGAUUUUGGGUCUGUAUGUUGGUUUUUUGUACUUGCAAACCCAAGCUUGGCCUUACCUGAUCAAUUCCUGUUAAAGGCCAACCCUUCAAUGGUAGAGUAGUGCCACCUUGGUUCAACCCUGCACCAAGACCAGCCUUUGACUGAAGAAUCGCUUGCCCAUAAAUUGAUGAAGGAUCCAUGGGCAAAGACUUGUGAGUGCCACCCAAGUUCACUUCCCCUUUAAUAUC
rnacentral:misc_RNA from 1 species